CCCUUAGAUGUUCUGGGCCGCACGCGUGCUACGCUGAGUGGAUCAGCGGGUCAGGUUGCGCGAAAGUGUUUCCUAAUCUUUAAAUCCGCUCGUGAUGGGGAUUGACGGUUGCAAUUUUCCGUCAUGAACGAGGAAUACCUUGUAAGCGCGGGUCAUCAUCCCGCGCUGAAUACGUCCCUGCCCUUUGUACACACCGCCCGUCGCUCCUACCGAUUGAGUGGUCCGGUGAGGCUUUGGGAUCUGGGCGGAAAGAGCGUUUCGCUGUUUCUGCCCGGAAAACUCAGUCGAACCUUAUCAUUUAGAGGAAGGAGAAGUCGUAACA
rnacentral:rRNA from 1 species